rnacentral:rRNA from 1 species
GACGAACCGUACGAACGUUAUUCGGAAUCACUGGGCUUAAAGGGUGCGUAGGCUGCGCAGAAAGUUGGGUGUGAAAUCCCUCGGCUUAACCGAGGAACUGCGCCCAAAACUACUGUGCUCGAGGGAGAUAGAGGUGAGCGGAACUUAGGGUGGAGCGGUGAAAUGCGUUGAUAUCCUAAGGAACACCGGUGGCGAAAGCGGCUCACUGGAUCUCUUCUGACGCUGAGGCACGAAAGCUAGGGUAGCGAACGGG